UUUAUAUAUGAAUAUAGAGGAUUUGAAGAAUGUAACAAUAAAAACAUCUUGAUUUAAUAGACGCAUAUAUAUCCUUUAGGCAGAAUGCACAUUCCUUUUACAUGGCCAUGCGAUAGUUACAACAUGAUAAUUCACGAGAAACCUCCUUGCCUUAACAUCCUCCUUAUACCUAACGCUGGUGGGCUUCCUACUGCCGCUACCAACGAUGCCCACCAGGGGACGACGUUUCCUUUCUCUCCUUCCUCUGCAGAAACCGGUCCAAGCAGGAUGCCUUCCUUUUUCCGGCAGGCAGCCCCCAGCAGUACCAUCACAAACCUUGGUCUCUUCUUGUCACAGGCAAAGGGAUGAAGGAUAAGUGAUGAGGAGACUGAAGCACAGAGGUGAAGCAGCUUGCCCGACGUCACACUGCUGCUUAGUGAUAGAGCCAGUGCUAGACCUUGGGGCUCCUGACUGUUACUGUUGGAGGCUCUUAACCCACUGGGAUCAAGAAGGUGUCAAGAGCUAGACUCUCUCUCCAGGAAAAUGAACACAGACACAAAACCUUGCAUAUAUGCUUCCGGGUAAAGAACCUGCCUGCAUUUUGGUACCACUACCUGCUGGCCUGUCCUGAGCAUGUUAUAUCAUGAGAGGGCAGGGAAGGCUGAAUCAUUAAAGACAUGAAUCAGAUUGAUUCUCGUGGCUUUAAAAACAAACACCACAGGACCAGCGUGACCUGACAGCCUGUUCUUAUCCACAGAGGCUUGUGGUCUCCAUUGAAAAGAAGCAAAGACAGCACGUCCCAACUCAAAAGACUGUGUCAUCC